CCCUUAGAUGUUCUGGGCUGCACGCGUGCUACACUGAUAUUGCCAAUAUGUCAUUCUUAUCCGAAAUGGAUUGGGUAAUCAAGUAAUGAAAUUUCAUGCUUGGAAUCGGUAAUUGCAAUUUUAUCGUGAACGAGGAAUUCCUAGUAAGCACUAGUCAUCAGCUAAUGUUGAUUAUGUCCCUGCCCUUUGUACACACCGCCCGUCGCUACUACUGAUUGGGUGUUCAAGUGAGAUGCUUAGACCCUUGUUGCAUGGUUCAUUAUUGUGCCCCGAAAGGAAAAAGUUUCAAGCUUGAGUGUCUAGAGGAAGUAAAAGUCGUAACA
rnacentral:rRNA from 1 species